GGCUUUUAGCAGCCUGACGCCUUGGUUUUUAGUUUCUGUCUCUAGUGACAGGUGGAAAAGAAGGAUGAGGAAGGGGCUUUACUGGCCCAACCAGAAAUAGUAACUAAGAACCCAUGACUGUAUUCUCUCCCUUGGACACCCCUGGGAAGCUCUGUACUGGUCUACAUUGAAUACGUCUUUGCUGCUCUGGGAUCCAUCCUCCAGUCUUCAGUCAGCUAAGAAAAUGACCUGUGGGCACGUUGGCUUCCUUUCUUCGGAUUAAGUGGUUGUUCAGAGAGAGGCUGAGUCUGAUUGUUUACACAAGAAGGAAGUGAACACUGGCUGUGUGCCUGGCACUGUUAGGAGCCAUCAAACCAUGUCCAGAAAGGACGCAGGGAAAGGAGAUGUCGAUGUUUCCAGACAUUUUGUGAUGUGAAGAGAGCGCCUGAAGGUUUUUGAUGAUGCUUAACUCACGUGCUUUGCUUAAAGAACUGCAGGGACUGACCUGAAACGCUAAGCAUGGAAUCCAGGUUGCAGAACAUCCCACUCUGGAAAGAAGGCUGAGCCGUUCAUCUGUAUUCCUGUUGCAAUCAAGCUAAUGCCAGCCAGACCACCAGGUGGCCCAUUAUUCAAGACAGUCAUUGAGACUAGACAGACUGACCAGCAUGUAUUCAGCUCUUGUACAUAAUUCCCCCAGACUCCCCCUCGCAUAACACCCCUGGCCAGCCUGAGAAAUUCGAGAUGGUCUUUGUGACACUAGCCCACCAUCUCCUCAGGUUGCCAGCUCCUCAUAAACCUACUUCUCCUCCGACCAACUCUUGUGUCUCCAGUUUGGCUCUCAAGGAGCGAGCAGCCGAACCUAGGUUCAGUGACAUUUCUAAAUGCUAUGACAUACAGGCUGUAAGCACUCACAAGGCAAGCAACAUGAACUCAAUUCCCUGAGUCAUGGGAAAUGACGGGCUCCUAUGACUACCUUUGUUUAAAGUGAAAAGGAAAUACAGGUAAACUUAGAGUGCCCAGAAUUGAGAUGGAAAGCUUUUAUUCUUGGGGAACUGUAAGUAAGAUGAUGUGCAUGUGAAAAAAACCCACAAACUACAAGUCCCAAAGAGUAGUGGAAAGCCUGCCCUUUAGAUUGGAACAGUGAGCCCAAUGGGCAAGGGUUCCAGUUGAGACUCAUCCUGUGGAGUGGAGCCCAGGUUUCCAUAAAGGUCCCACGAUGACUGGAAGUGACUUCGCAAACCCCACCCCUCUACUCCCUCCAUGCUGCAUCUCAGGGUCAGGGCUGGGGCAGGAAGCAAAUUGCACACCUGUAACAUGAAGACAAGCGAAAGGAUUUAAGGUGAAGAAGGUUAGGAUGGAAGCCCUCCUAGUAAUUCAUUGGUGUUGGAGAGAUGACUGUAUUUCUACCUCGGUGAAAGCCAAGCUUUUAAUUCAAUAUCACUCCAAAAACACAAAUUACAAGUUGUGUGAUACACAGACGAUUAACCCACCUAAUAAUUAAAUUAAAAAACACUUUUUGAGGGAACAAAUUAGAUUAUGUUUUCCGAAUCAGCAGCUUAGAGAUUUUUAUUACCUAUUAAUAAAAAUUAUCUAAACAUCCAUCACCAUAACUUUUCCUCUACUUUGUUUCCAUUUCUUUCUUUCUUUUUUUUUUUUUUUUUGAGAUGAAGUUUCACUCUUGUUGCCCAGGUUGGAGUACAAUGGUGUGAUCUUGGCUCACUGCAAUCUCCGCCUCCUGGAUUCAAGUGAUUCUCCUGCCUCAGCCUCCCAAGUCGCUGGGAUUACAGGCAUGCGCCGCCAAGCCUGGCUAAUUUUUUAUAUUUUAA
ensembl:lncRNA novel transcript